GGUGGCUCAGUGGUCGAGCGCUUGCCUUGCAAGCAUGAGGCCCUGGGUUCAAUUCCUCAGCACCA
rnacentral:tRNA from 1 species